UACGGAGGGGACUAGCGUUGUUCGGAAUUACUGGGCGUAAAGCGCACGUAGGCGGAUUUGUAAGUCAGGGGUGAAAUCCCGGGGCUCAACCUCGGAACUGCCUUUGAUACUGCAAAUCUCGAGUCCGGAAGAGGUGAGUGGAAUUCCUAGUGUAGAGGUGAAAUUCGUAGAUAUUAGGAAGAACACCAGUGGCGAAGGCGGACUCACUGGUCCGGUACUGACGCUGAGGUGCGAAAGCGUGGGGAGCAAACAGG
rnacentral:rRNA from 1 species